GUAGUCGUGGCCGAGUGGUUAAGGCGACAGACUUGAAAUCUGUUGGGAUAUUCCCGCGCAGGUUCAAAUCGUGCCGACUACG
rnacentral:tRNA from 1 species